rnacentral:rRNA from 1 species
GACGAGCGCUGGCGGCGUGCUUAACACAUGCCAGUCGAACGGAAAGGCCCUGCUUUUGUGGGGUGCUCGAGUGGCGAACGGGUGAGUAACACGUGAGUAACCUGCCCUUGACUUUGGGAUAACUUCAGGAAACUGGGGCUAAUACCGGAUAGGAGCUCCUGCUGCAUGGUGGGGGUUGGAAAGUUUCGGCGGUUGGGGAUGGACUCGCGGCUUAUCAGCUUGUUGGUGGGGUAGUGGCUUACCAAGGCUUUGACGGGUAGCCGGCCUGAGAGGGUGACCGGCCACAUUGGGACUGAGAUACGGCCCAGACUCCUACGGGAGGCGGCAGUGGGGAAUAUUGCACAAUGGGCGGAAGCCUGAUGCAGCAACGCCGCGUGCGGGAUGACGGCCUUCGGGUUGUAAACCGCUUUCGCCUGUGACGAAGCGUGAGUGACGGUAAUGGGUAAAGAAGCACCGGCUAACUACGUG